UGCUGGGAUAAAUCCUCAAAGGGUAUCUUGUUGUUUUACAUAACACUUGUUUUGCAUGGACAUUAAGAGUGAUUCUCAUUUUGCUUGUUGGUUUUGAUCUUACAAGCUUAGAAAUAUUACCUACUAUUCUUUCUCCACUAGUUCCUUUCGAUGCUUUUUCAUGUCCAUGGGAAUUUCUUGUUAGUCCCUUUUUUUAAAAGACACAUAGAUUUUGCAGGGUUCUUUCUCUGUUAACUUUUAGUGCAUAUGGAUAUCUUUCUUUUUUGGGCAUUCCAUAUGCACUCAUUUAGUUGAGGCAUCGUAUGUGUUAGCCGUAACCCAUCUCUCGUAAUGUUUCCAGCACGUGAACUCUGUUUUAUGGAAAGGUUGAGGUGCUAUUUAGCUUGAAGGCUCUUUGCAUAUGAUGACUGCUAAUGUUUCUAUUUCCUCUGGAGAUAUUGCAUAAUCUCAUUAGUUGUUUUGUUGAAAAAUAAUUUUAAUUUAUAAUAAAUAUUAUAAGUCCACAUCAAUCUAUAUGUAUAUAUGGCUAUAAAAUG
rnacentral:misc_RNA from 1 species